UCCCUGGUGGUCUAGUGGUUAAGAUUUGGUGCUGUUACUGCCACGGCCUAGGUUUGAUUCCUGGUCAGGGAA